AAAUGUGUACACAUUGGAACCAACUCAAACAGUUGAAUGACGGUAUGCAAUUUUCAUCCGAAACCAAUUCGUACAUUUUAUUUGACCCUGGAAACCAUUCCUUAUUUCCGGUUUUUUAUAGGUUGAUUGAAAUGACACAAUUUUGGUUGAACUUCAGGUGUUGUGUGAAGAGGAUGGUUAAUUUUAGCAUUAUAUAAACUCGAAAGAUCUCCCGCCCUAAAUGAAGCCAAAAAGAUUGAACUUUGUGUAUGCACGGAUUAAGGGUACGCAUCAAGAGUGUCUUUUGUGGUUUCAAAUUCCAAAGCAAACUCCCUGUCCCACGCUGUUUAUAUGAAACUUUUUUCGGUCGGUCCCUUAUCGUUAUCAGAAGUUUAUAGAAUACUUUUUAUACAAAUUUAAGUAAACUAAGCAUAUAAUAUGAUUAACUCCAGAGAGCAACUCUGGCAGCUAGAACUAUUUUAAAUCAAUCAUAAUAAAUGAAAUAUUGUUACGGAAACACGUAUUGACUAGUGAAAAAAUUCGACUCUAGUAAUGGAGAUCUGCUGCUCACAAAUAUAUACAUAAUUUUUUUUUUUAGUUUACUGAUGCCACUUAUUCAUAAAUAUUAUUUAAACCGCCGUUUAAGUACAACCCCCACAACACAAAAAUAUUCACCGGUCGGCCGUAAUGUGUAACAAUAAGUUCAGGAAGUUUUAGAAGUUUUAUCGAUUUCUGGAAAACCCGAACAAUCGGUUUAUUGUUUUUUUUUAUCCGUAAAAACUGCUGUUUAUUUAACAGUGGUUUCGAGUUCAUUAUUUAUUUCACAUGCAAAACUAUGAUACUGAUAUAUAUUUCUGUUUCACAUCUGUUC